UACGUAGGGGCGAGCGUUGUCCGGAUUCAUUGGGCGUAAAGCGCGCGUAGGCGGCCCGCAAGUCGGCCGGUGAAAUCUCCGGGCUCAACAUCGGAGGGUCGGGCGAGAACUGCGGAGCUCGAGGUGGGCAGAGGGCAGUUGGAAGUUCCGGGAUGUGAGUGGUGGAAUGACGCAGAGUAUCAGGAGGAACACCGGUGGCGAAGGCGGGUCGUCCUGGGCAGUGAACUGACGCUGGAGGAGGCGAAAGCGUGGGGAGCGAACAGG
rnacentral:rRNA from 1 species